rnacentral:tRNA from 1 species
AUUUAUAUAGUUUAUCAAAAACAUUGAAUUGUGGUUUCAAAAAUAAUUAAAUAAUUUAUAAAUC